rnacentral:lncRNA from 1 species
UAUAAACUAUGAAUUACUAAAAAUUGACUUCUAAACACCAUAAGAAUGACUAAACAUGUUGUAAGUGUCGAACGAAAGUACAAAAUUAUUAUAUGACAUUUGAAUGCUGUAUUUAAUUGGACAUACCAUCUAGGAUGUUUAUGUCUUCCAAUCUUCCAAGUAUGUAUAUAGUUGUAAUCAGGGCUGCGAAGUCGGCACAUAAAAUGCCCGACUCUGACUCCAGUAUUUUGAAUGUCACUGAUUUCGACUCCGAUUCUUACACAUAUUAUUAUUUUUAAAUAAUAUAUUUCAUUGCCAAUAUAAGUACUAUCGAGUCAUUUGACUCUAUAUAUUUUAAAUAUAGAUUUAAUUUGAUAGUUAUAGGUAGUUAGUAAUAUGUAGUAAAUAAUUGUGCUAUGUAUAAAGAAAAUAUUUGGAAUAUAAGAUAUUUAACUA